rnacentral:rRNA from 1 species
UACGUAGGGUGCAGGCGUUAAUCGGAAUUACUGGGCGUAAAGCGUGCGCAGGCGGUUUGCUAAGACAGGUGUGAAAUCCCCGGGCUUAACCUGGGAACUGCGCUUGUUACUGGCAGGCUUGAGUGUGGCAGAGGGGGGUGGAAUUCCACGUGUAGCAGUGAAAUGCGUAGAGAUGUGGAGGAAAACCGAUGGCGAAGGCAGCCCCCUGGGCUAACACUGACGCUCAUGCACGAAAGCGUGGGGAGCAAACAGG